rnacentral:rRNA from 1 species
GGCGGACGGGUGAGUAACACGUGGGCAACCUGCCUGUAAGACUGGGAUAACCCCGGGAAACCGGGGCUAAUACCGGAUAAUACUUUCUUUUGCAUAAAGGAAAGUUGAAAGGCGGCUUCGGCUGUCACUUACAGAUGGGCCCGCGGCGCAUUAGCUAGUUGGUGAGGUAACGGCUCACCAAGGCGACGAUGCGUAGCCGACCUGAGAGGGUGAUCGGCCACACUGGGACUGAGACACGGCCCAGACUCCUACGGGAGGCAGCAGUAGGGAAUCUUCCGCAAUGGACGAAAGUCUGACGGAGCAACGCCGCGUGAGUGAUGAAGGUUUUCGGAUCGUAAAACUCUGUUGUUAGGGAAGAACAAGUACGAUAGUAACUGAUCGUACCUUGACGGUACCUAACCAGAAAGCCACGGCUAACUACGUGCCAGCAGCCGCGGUAAUACGUAGGUGGCAAGCGUUGUCCGGAAUUAUUGGGCGUAAAGCGCUCGCAGGCGGUCCUUUAAGUCUGAUGUGAAAUCUCGCGGCUCAACCGCGAACGGUCAUUGGAAACUGGAGGACUUGAGUACAGAAGAGGAGAGUGGAAUUCCACGUGUAGCGGUGAAAUGCGUAGAGAUGUGGAGGAACACCAGUGGCGAAGGCGACUCUCUGGUCUGUAACUGACGCUGAGGAGCGAAAGCGUGGGGAGCGAACAGGAUUAGAUACCCUGGUAGUCCACGCCGUAAACGAUGAGUGCUAGGUGUUAGGGGUUUCCGCCCCUUA